UGCAUUGAUGUCCGGAGUUCCACAUACCCUGCACCCCAAGUGGCCCGUCGUCGAGGCCGUGCGGUGGUGUGGCACCUGUGACAAGUCAGCAGGCUCACACUGCCCAUUAUUGACCCAGAGCCUUUCAUUGGUCAGAGCUCCUUGGGUUUCAUCUAAUGUCCUUCUGCUGCUCAGGAGUCCAUCCAGGACGCACAUCAAGCUUGGUUGUCCUGUCCACGUGGUUUCCUCUCAGCUGGAUAGCUUUUAGACCUUCCUUGUUUUUGAUGAGCAGAGCAAUUCUGAGGAUGAUUAGUCAGGUGUUUGGAGAAGACCUCCCACUGGGACCUGAUUUCUUCCUCCUGAUUGGACUGUGCUCGUGGGUUUCACGGAGGAGGCCCACAGAGGUCCAGCAGUUCUCGUGGGAUGGCGUCAGAGCCUGCAGUCCAGGUACACAGACUUCUCAGGUGACAGUAAAAGUGGUGUCAUCCACAAGCUGACCAGGAAAGGAACCCAGGGGAAGUCACUCCUAGGAGUCAGGCUGUUUGGAGCCUGCUGCUAAUGAGUUCUCACAAUGACCCUCUGGAGGAGGUGACAGUAUUAUCUUAAUUUUGUAAUCACUAAACGAAAAAGCAGAAGACCCAUACAGCCCCGUGCCUCAUGUUAAAACCUGUUCUGAUUUGCACUACAGCAUCCCAGUCAAAGCUCUGACGGCAGCUGGCUGUCCCGAGAUUGAGUCGACUCCUAAAUCACAGUAAGGUAAGGAUUGUAGCCAGUGUUUGCUUUAUCUGUAUAGAAGAAGCUCGGAGAAAGCAAACCCAAUGGUAGGUUUUCUUGGUGUUACAGACUGUUGGGAACAGGAGCAGGGGUAAGCACAGGGUGGCUCCUGCCUGGAGUCCUCUGUGGGUGUACCUUCAACAUCUACCUGGUGAGAAGACAGAGCUGGUCUGCGGGUGUCAACUGUGUAUCAGACGGAGGGGACUCUGUCCAGGGGAUGUUGCUGGGAGAGCAGAAACCCAACGUGUAGCAGCUGAGAACCCACAGAUGGGAUUCCCCCCGUGAUGGCCUGUCCAGGCAAGUUUACAAAGUAACCAGGUGGUGAUCAUACUGAGCACUGUUUUUGGUCAGUUCCACAGGCAUUUAUUUAUUUACUUAUCUAUUCAUCUAUCUAUCUAUUUAUUUAUUUUUCAG